AGAAAGAUACAGGAGAAGAGUGUGAGACAGGUAAGGGAAGAGAGUGUGAGACAGGUAAGGGAAGAGAGUGUGAGACAGGUAAAGGAAGAGAGUGUGAGACAGGUAAAGGAAGAGAGUGUGAGACAGAUAAAGGAAGAGACUGUGAGACAGAUAAAGGCAGAGACUGUGAGACAGAUAAGGGAAGAGAGUGUGAGACAGAUAAAGGAAGAGAGUGUGAGACAGGUAAAGGAAGAGUGUGAGACAGGUAAGGGAAGAGAGUGUGAGACAGGUAAGGGAAGAGAGUGUGAGACAGGUAAAGGAAGAGAGUGUGAGACAGAUAAAGGAAGAGAGUGUGAGACAGAUAAAGGAAGAGACUGUGAGACAGAUAAAGGCAGAGACUGUGAGACAGAUAAGGGAAGAGAGUGUGAGACAGAUAAGGGAAAAGAGUGUGAGACAGAUAAAGGAAGAGUGUGUGAGACAGGUAAAGGAAGAGAGUGUGAGACAGGUAAAGGAAGAGAGUGUGAGACAGGUAAAUGAAGAGAGUGUGAGACAGGUAAAGGAAGAGAGUGUGACAGAUAAAGGAAGAGAG